UCUGCGAUUUUUGUGACUUCUGCUACUUCUGCGAUUUCUGCUACUUGUGCGAUUUCUGUGACUUCUGCGACUUAUCACCGUAUGAAAAAGUUACAUCUGCCCACACAGAAAAUUGCAUCCCAACAAAUCUGUCAUUGGUACCUGAACUACAUUUCAGUCUCUCAGUAAAUCGAUAACUCAAAAUAUCAUUGUCAACAGAUCUGGAGAAAUUGCCACUGCGUCUUUAGACCGUUUUCGUCAGACGAGAGACACGGUUCUGACUCUUGAUUACUGGUUGCUGUACGUAUCUGUCCACAUGAAGGCUAUUGAGAGAGACUCGUGAAGAUUCAAGACAGCUCUUAGAGUAUUUGCAGUUUAAAAGUGACAUAAUUGUGAAAUAAGUGUGCAGAUGAGUGAUUAAACUGUGUUUUAUUGAAGUUGUUAUGCGAUUUUAAAGGAAUCAU